UAGGUAUGGCAGAUUUUUUUCUAUUCUGCUUUAAUCAAAAGCUUUUCUUUUUUUUUUUUUUUUUUCAGGAUAUCCAGAGGAUGAAAGAACCCUCCCUGAAAAUCAAACACAGGGGACUAAACCUUCUCCCUUUUCUGUACUCACAAACACCAAGAUACAGGCCAUAUAUUGAUGUGGUACAUUAAACAAUUGUGGAGCGAGUCCUGUGCUCUCUUCUACGUGGGCUGGAGAAAUAGCACCAGAUUGAGGGUUCUACCACCACAUAUUGU
rnacentral:lncRNA from 1 species